AUUGAACGCUGGCGGCAUGCCUUACACAUGCAAGUCGAACGGCAGCAUGGGUGCUUGCACCUGAUGGCGAGUGGCGAACGGGUGAGUAAUGCAUCGGAACGUACCCGGAGUGGGGUACGUAGCGAAGUACGCUAUACGCAUAUUCUGUGAGCAGGAAGACGGGGAGUCGGCAAGACCUCGCGCUUCCGGAGCGGCCGGAUGUCGGAUUAGCUAGUUGGCGGGGUAAAGGCCCGACCAACGCAACGAUCCGUAGCGGGUCGUGAGAGGAUGGAUCCGCCACCACCUGGGACUGGAGAC
rnacentral:rRNA from 1 species